rnacentral:rRNA from 1 species
ACGUAGGGGGCAAGCGUUGUCCGGAAUCACUGGGCGUAAAGCGCGCGCAGGCGGUGGAAUAAGUCAGACGUGAAAGGGUUCGGCUCAACCGAGCCAUUGCGUUUGAUACUGUUUCACUUGAGUCUAGAAGAGGAAAGUGGAAUGUAUGGUGUAGCGGUGGAAUGCUUAGAUAUCAUAUAGAACACCUGUGGCGAAGGCGGCUUUCUGGUCUAAGACUGACGCUGAUGCGCGAAAGUUUGGGGAGCAAACAGG